AUAGGGGAGCCGGAGGGAAACCGAGUCUUAAUUGGGCGUUAAGUUGCAGGGUAUAGACCCGAAACCCGGUGAUCUAGCCAUGGGCAGGUUGAAGGUUGGGUAACACUAACUGGAGGACCGAACCGACUAAUGUUGAAAAAUUAGCGGAUGACCUGUGGCUGGGGGUGAAAGGCCAAUCAAACCGGGAGAUAGCUGGUUCUCCCCGAAAGCUAUUUAGGUAGCGCCUCGUGAAUUCAUCUCCGGGGGUAGAGCACUGUUUCGGCUAGGGGGCCAUCCCGGCUUACCAACCCGAUGCAAACUGCGAAUACCGGAGAAUGUUAUCACGGGAGACACACGGCGGGUGCUAACGUCCGUCGUGAAGAGGGAAACAACCCAGACCGCCAGCUAAGGUCCCAAAGUCAUGGUUAAGUGGGAAACGAUGUGGGAAGGCCCAGACAGCCAGGAUGUUGGCUUAGAAGCAGCCAUCAUUUAAAGAAAGCGUAAUAGCUCACUGGUCGAGUCGGCCUGCGCGGAAGAUGUAACGGGGCUAAACCAUGCACCGAAGCUGCGGCAGCGACGCUGAUGCGUUGUUGGGUAGGGGAGCGUUCUGUAAGCCUGUGAAGGUGGCCUGUGAGGGUUGCUGGAGGUAUCAGAAGUGCGAAUGCUGACAUAAGUAACGAUAAAGCGGGUGAAAAGCCCGCUCGCCGGAAGACCAAGGGUUCCUGUCCAACGUUAAUCGGGGCAGGGUGAGUCGACCCCUAAGGCGAGGCCGAAAGGCGUAGUCGAUGGGAAACGGGUUAAUAUUCCCGUACUUGGUGUUACUGCGAAGGGGGGACGGAGAAGGCUAUGUUGGCCGGGCGACGGUU
rnacentral:rRNA from 1 species